rnacentral:rRNA from 1 species
GUAGGGAAUAUUGGGCAAUGGUCGGAAGACUGACCCAGCCAUGCCGCGUGCAGGAAGACGGCCCUCUGGGUUGUAAACUGCUUUUAUCUGGGAAGAAAAAGGCCAUGCGUGGCAAAUUGCCGGUACCAGAUGAAUAAGCACCGGCUAACUCCGUGCCAGCAGCCGCGGUAAUACGGAGGGUGCGAGCGUUGUCCGGAUUUAUUGGGUUUAAAGGGUGCGUAGGCGGCUGAUUAAGUCAGCGGUGAAAGACUUCGGCUUAACCGGAGCAGUGCCGUUGAUACUGGUUGGCUUGAGUGUCGGAGGGGUACAUGGAAUUGAUGGUGUAGCGGUGAAAUGCAUAGAUACCAUCAGGAACACCGAUAGCGAAGGCAUUGUACUGGCCGACAACUGACGCUGAUGCACGAAAGUGUGGGGAUCGAACAGGAUUAGAUACCCCAGUAGUCC